UACGGAAGGCAGCAGGGGGAAUAUUGCACAAUGGGCGCAAGCCUGAUGCAGCCAUGCCGCGUGUAUGAAGAAGGCCUUCGGGUUGUAAAGUACUUUCAGUCGUGAGGAAGGUGUUAAGGUUAAUAACCUUAGCAAUUGACGUUAGCGACAGAAGAAGCACCGGCUAACUCCGUGCCAGCAGCCGCGGUAAUACGGAGGGUGCGAGCGUUAAUCGGAAUUACUGGGCGUAAAGGGCACGCAGGCGGUUAAUUAAGUUGGAUGUGAAAUCCCCGGGCUUAACCUGGGAAUGGCAUUCAAGACUGGUUAGCUAGAGUCUUGUAGAGGGGGUAGAAUUCCAUGUGUAGCGGUGAAAUGCGUAGAGAUGUGGAGGAAUACCGGUGGCGAAGGCGGCCCCUGGGACAAAGACUGACGCUCAUGUGCGAAAGCGUGGGGAGCAAACAGGGAUUAGAUA
rnacentral:rRNA from 1 species